rnacentral:rRNA from 1 species
CCUACGGGGGGCAGCAGUGAGGAAUAUUGGUCAAUGGGCGCGAGCCUGAACCAGCCAAGUCGCGUGAGGGAAGAAGGUCCUAUGGAUUGGAAACCUCUUUGGUCGGGGAGCAAAAGACGCCACGCGUGGCGUUCCGAGAGUACCCGAAGAAAAAGAAUCGGCUAACUCCGUGCCAGCAGCCGCGGUAAUACGGAGGAUGCGAGCGUUAUCCGGAUUUAUUGGGUUUACAGGGUGCGCAGGCGGAAGAUCAAGUCAGCGGUAAAAUUGAUCGGCUCACCCUCUUCGAGCCGUUUCAACUGGUUUUCUUGAGUGCGUGAGAUGUAUGCGGAAUGCUUGUUGUAGCGCU